UCCGUCACGUUAAAGUCCGGCCGGGUUUCCUUUUUAUACUUUGAGUUCGUCCUCGCCGUAUUAUUCGGGAUAAAUGAGGAGAAAGGUGAUUCUUUAAGCUAUAGAGACGAAGAAGGCUGCAUUGUUGGAGGUGCCAAUUUUCCCUGUCAGGAGGAGGUAAAAGAUUGCAUAUUUUGAGGAGGAGCUGGGUGAAUCUUCCUGAAACCCUAGCCAAAUUUAUUCUUCAAUCAACAUUGUUAAAACAGUGCUGAAGAAAUUUCACUAGACCCUAAAAUGUUAACUCUGCUGUCUCUCUACAUAUGCUGCCAGACCUAUUGAGUUUUCCAGGCAGUUUCUGUAUCAUUAAAACAGAAAAUUAGUCAGAUAAUCGCAUUGCUCUGUAUGUGGAAGCUUGUUGUGUACAAAUUUACAGCCAUGUUUCCUGUGUUACAAAAUAAACCACUAUUUAAAAUUC